ensembl:lncRNA
UGAUGCACUGGUAGCUCCAACGGGUUGCUCAGGUUGACUGUUCAUUCAGGAGAGGACAAACAAUCUGGGAGAUAGUGUCAACAUCAUUAGUUGUUCAACUCUCACGGUGAAACUCCUUGCUGUCAGGUGAAGCUUGAUGAAGCAAAUGAUCAAAGGAUGGAGGGGAGCAAAACUUUGAAGUUCAGAGAGAUUCUCCAAAGUCUGAAGUACUCUGGAAACAUCCUUCUUGCCGAAAAAGCACAGGAGACAGAAGGAGCUGGGAGCUACUACCAGGGCUAAUGCACAAGAAGAAAUUAACAACCAGCCACACUUUGAGAAAUACUUUCACAGCAUUCUCUCUGGCGCACAGUGAGCCUCAGCAUCCACUGACCCUGCUCUGUGAUGGCCUACCACUUGGUGGCUGAGUAGACGUCAUUCCCAAUCGCUUCCAGAGCAGAUGCAAAGCAAGAGUGGUCAGGCCAUAGUGCAGGUGUGUGUGGGUGUGUGUGUGUGUGGGUACAGUCGUGACAGGCACCUUCAGGCCUGCUGGGUGUGGCCCUACCAGCUGACCGGUCACACCCAAGGAUCUUCACACACACCUGGCGCUGAUCAAGCCUCGUCGGAGGAGCUACUUUAGAGUGUGGUGGAGCUCUCUCCAAUGUUGGAUCGUUGAGUGACUUCCCGAGGAUUUGUGGAAACAAGGAAGCAGCAAACAGACUGUACACAAGGAAUGGAGACAGAGCACGGGAGUAGGGAGAAGACACGGAACGGGAGUCGGGAUCGCACUGGGGAUUUAUUGUUGUUUAGAUUGUUACAUCACUGUAAAUAAACGCAAUGCCUUCAUCAUAAAGUCCUGCAUUUUGGGUCCUCCUUCCCCACACACCCACGGUCUGCCACACAGACCAUGACAAGUGUUACUUGUUAAAGUAGAUCAGUAAGGUUUUAAACAUGUUUCGCAGACUCAAACUCUGUACAAAAAGUCAAAAGAUGGUAGGUUAUAAGCACUUGGCAAAUAGAAAGGAUUUUGGUUACAAAAAUGUAGACCAAACCGAG